CCUACGGGUGGCAGCAGUGGGGAAUAUUGGACAAUGGGGGGAACCCUGAUCCAGCCAUGCCGCGUGUGUGAAGAAGGCCCUCGGGUUGUAAAGCACUUUCAGUGAGGAAGAACGCCUGGUGGUUAAUACCCAUCAGGAAAGACAUCACUCACAGAAGAAGCACCGGCUAACUCCGUGCCAGCAGCCGCGGUAAUACGGAGGGUGCGAGCGUUAAUCGGAAUUACUGGGCGUAAAGCGCGCGUAGGUGGCUUGAUAAGCCGGUUGUGAAAGCCCCGGGCUCAACCUGGGAACGGCAUCCGGAACUGUCAAGCUAGAGUGAAGGAGAGGAAGGUAGAAUUCUCGGUGUAGCGGUGAAAUGCGUAGAGAUCGGGAGGAAUACCAGUGGCGAAGGCGGCCUUCUGGACUGACACUGACACUGAGGUGCGAAAGCGUGGGUAGCAAACAGGAUUAGAUACCCUGGUAGUC
rnacentral:rRNA from 1 species